AACACCAUCUGUGGAGGAUAACUUGGAGCCUAGAGCGGAAUUCAUCUCCAAACUUCAACAAGGAAGUAAUCCCAAGGAUUACAAACACUCUGAUGAUUAUUGAAGAAGUUUUAUGUGUUCCAAGCAAUAUUUAUACCAUUAAAGAGUGUUUUAGAGUACUAAAUGCAUAUAAGAAGGAUCAAGGGUCAUUGAAGAGGUUAAAGGAGUGCAAGACGGGGCUAAAAAGCCUACUAGAGGUGACCUGCGCCCCACAUGCGGACUAGGUGCCCUUGACUUGAUCAAGAAGGUGG
rnacentral:lncRNA from 1 species